ensembl:lncRNA
CUCUCUUUUCUCGAACAGCCCAAACUGGCUCGCCUUUCCCUUUCCCUCUCCCUCCCUCCCUUGCCUCUUGCUCUACCUCUCUUCUCCAGUCCCAAGGGGUGGGUUUGGGGAGGGAGGGCUACACAGAGACAGGAGUGGGAGACGAAGGGGUGCGUCCACAGGAAGUGACCCUGAAGAAGAUGAGGAAGAAGAGCAGGAAGAUGAAGGCUCCCGGAGGGUUAUUGUUGUCACGGAAACAGACGUUGAUAAAAGGGUGGGGCUUAGGAGUCUUCUGAAGUCGCCAAGGGAGCCAGUUGACAAAGAAAAAGACAGGGGAAGAAACGUGUCCUUUUUUGAUGAUGUCACUGUUUAUCUCUUUGAUCAGGUAUUUGUGUGUUUUUCCCCCUCAUAUAUUAAGUCCAAAGUUUCUCAUUAGUAUUUAACUGUCAAUAUAUUUGAUGUUACUCUCUGUGUUUUAGUCCCUGACUCUUUCUCUCUGUUUGUGAUACAGGAAACUCCCAACCAGUGAGCUAAUUAGUUCCACCCCAACCAGUCCAGCUCCGGCUUCUGGCAAGAGCACUAAAUUUGAUUUACAUGGAGCAAACAGCAAAGGCAAAGACUCAAAAAGAAAAGGGGACUUGUCAAUCAAACCGCGGUCGGCCAUGGGGGCCAACCCAGUGACAUCGUCGCGUUUUACAGUCAGCCCAGCCGAUGACCCCCAUUUGGUGUGAGGCAGGGUUCUGGAAUCCUCCAAGGUUGUUCCAUAACCCCUGGAACAGGUACCCUCUGAGAUGGCCAGUGGAUUCCCAGCCCAACCAUAACCAUUCUCGGAGGCUAUUUUUUUAUCAAUCAUGCAAUUGAAAGAAGACUCCCAUUCUAGAAGCUGGACACAUUCCAGGUUUUACCAGCUACCGGUUCUUGUAUGUAAAAGGUUGUCAAUACAGUAACUCCCCCCUUUGCCACUGUAUUUUAGGAUUGAUUCAUAGACAUUGGCUGGAAGUGGUUUAUGGCAAAGGAAGUUUGUCCGAGGCCAAGAAGAUUGUGGAGCUUUGUAAAAUCUGAAAGGGAUUUGACGGCUAUGCAAUGGAGUCAUUGUGUACAGCUCACCUUUGUUUCUGUUGUCUUUUCCCUUUGUGUAUUACGGGAUGCACUUUCUUGGUUGUCUGUCUGUGUGUGAAAGCUUGGAUUGAAAUAUUUUCACUUUGUAAAAACGAUUGUCAUUGCAGUCAGUCAUGCUUCUGGGAAAGGUUGUGCAGUGAUGUGGUAAAAUAAAUAGGUGGGUAAACCCUGAUCACCCGGUCACAGUGAAAAAAGUAAUGCUCUCCAAACUUUCAAUGGAUUUUUCUGCAAAAGUAAACUGCAAACACUGUAUUUACUUGUGUCUACCCACCACUACACCACUGAAAUUGGGCCCAGAAAACAAGCUUAACUCCUGUGUUUGAGUGCUCAUUCAACAUGUCUACUGAGAUAGAAAUUCAAGUGUAAACAAUAUCAUUUUAGAGCUGCUUAAUUUAGAUGUAUUCUUAGACUGCACGAAAAUACGAUAACACCCUAUGUUAAUUUAUAGUGGGUACGAGUCUCUUUAGCUAACAUUGCACUCUCUCCUCAUACACCAUGUCAUAUGGAGUACCUGGAGUGGAAUGCCAGCUAGAUACUGGUACCCAGAGUAGUUUCUUUAUGCAUUUUCUUCUGAAAUACUGUCUUGCUAUAAUUUAUUGGAUUGCGUUUAUUUUUUAUUUUUUAUCCAUUCUGUGUAAAUAUUGUUUAUUUAUUUUGUUGCAACGGAUUUAUCUCUCAGAAUUGUUUGGGACAUAAUGUAUCUAAAUAAUACCUUCUAAAUUAAUAAUUCUUCAUAACAAAUAAAGUAAGAUAUUUUCCCAAACCUCGUAAUUAAAAAAAUAUAAUAUUUUGUAUAAUUUAAUUUCUUUAUAACUGCCACUCUGUACCUAAUGUAUGUCCUCUAACGUAUCUAUAACAAGUUUUAUUAUUUUUAUAUGAUUGCAUUUAUAGCCAUUAUCUUACUUUGUUUGACAACAAUUAAUGUAGCUUAGCAUGGUAAAAUGGAAGCCUCUCAUUGGUAAAUAUCUACAUAAAUUGAUGUAUCAGUUUAUUUACAUUCAUUUUGUACUAAUAACAUAAUGACCCAUCAUCCACUCAAGCUCCAAACAGUCCCACUUUAUUUUGUCUGUUUUAACGUUGGUUAAAAACCUGUAUUGUUUAAAUAAUGGGUUUCAUGGGAUACUGUAUAAAACCAGGGGAAAUAAAAACAACAUAAAAACUGUGAAACAUUUAUUGAACUGUUUGAUGAAAAUAAAUUGUACUGUCUUAUAUUUUUUAA